GAACUGGGGGUGGGGGUAGAAGGGAGGGGAAUCUUGGUGGAAGAAGAUUGGUUCCUCCCCUACCCAAGCCCCCGAGCCAUAGUGAGCCGGAAAUCAGAGAAACGCGCGGGAUUGGAGGACUGACGUAUUCUUAGGCUGUGGCCUAUAUCUUUGCUUUUUAGUAUAUUAUAGUGUAUCGCGCACGCGCGGCUACUCCUCACCCUAACCUCAACUGCCCCUAACGGCUUUUCACGCCCUCCCGCGUGACCUACGCAAUAUACCCUUCCCCCUCUCUUUUAAAGGAGAGUGUGGUCAAAAGUUAGGGGACUUCUCCCCAAGUCUCUAUGUCAGAUCGUACUCCGUCUUGUAUAAACUUCUGUUCGUGGGCACCUGGGAAGAGCAUCGAGGAUCCUUCCUCUACUUCCCCGCACCCUCGAGUUUUAAUUCUUGAGUCCCGCCCGAACCCAUUUCACAUUUCUAAAAAGAAAACACUGUACAGACAGAUCAGUACCCCAGUCUUGCUUGGGCCCCGUCUCCAGCGUCUAACCCGACCGAUGACGUCACAAUACGGGGUCAGACAAGCUCUUGGAACAGCCUGGGGAAAGCCGUAUUACCCCAUCCCACUCAGGGAUCAGAGUUCGGUGACGCCAUUAGCGCGCGACCAGCCCAUUGGAGAGGAGCCUUGUACAAGAAAUAAUGCUUCAUCUGUUCGCGACCUUCCGUGCCCUGCAGCCUCUACAGAGGCCUCUGUGCAAACAUGAAAACAAGAACGAGCAGACUAGAGCAUCCUUAAGAAACUUUCAUGAAAGUCCACGCUGUGCCUUCUGCAGAUGGAAUUAGGUUGAAUCUUGAACUGAGUUGAUGGAAGAGGCAUUCAAAAAAGAGUUGAACUGGGCUUCUUCACUACAUAUCUUUACUGGUGCUGGGAAGAGAAUAGGGUCGUUAAUCCUUGAGAACAAUUUUGGAGGAGUAGACUCUGACCUCUGCACCCUUGCUUUUGACUUGAUUAGCCAGUUUUUGCUUCUUGGCUCUCUGUAGCUUCUUUCCUUUUCCAGAUUCUGUAGUCUUUGGGCCAUGGGAACUCUAUACCUACUUUGUCUAGGUGGUAGAGCUACUAUAUGAAGACAUGAAUGCAGUCAGGUCUCUUGAAUGCUUUGAAGAGUCUGGCUUAGUUUGAAGUAACCACAUAAAGGUGGACCUUUGAGAAGCUUACCAAAAAGAGAAAUGGACAGUAUCUGCAGAAGAAAGGUUCAAGAGAAGGAAUUCACCCCUCAUUCCUGGGCUUGUACUCCGAGAGGAAUGGCAGAUUCUACAUGUGCUACAUAUAUUGUGUUGGUUCACCCCCCCCCCCCUUUUUUGGCCCAUUGAGGACAACUGAAUCAAAGCAGAUGAAUGAAUGAUGAUACUAUUGUAUAGCAACUGCUUGACAUGUGCAUAGGACCUAUUAGGGCUGGAAGAUGAUCAUCCUGGCACCUUUUUACUUUCAUCCUUUUCUUUUGUACAUCUUUUGGAGAUUAUCACUGACCUGUUUCAGUAGAGCAGCUCUUUCCCAGGUUAAAAAGUAGGAUGGGCUAUUUUAAAUUUCACACCAAAAAUGCAUUCAUACAGAAAGCUAGAAAAUGAGGAAUAUGUGUAAGGGAAAGAGCUAAAUCUCUUCACCUCUGCAAAGAACAAAAGCCUAGGAUUGGGGAAUGGUUUUGGAAUUGUGACCAAAGUAACUCAGAUGAACUUAGGAAGAGUUUGGUAUUGAGACAUCAUAACGGAAAUAAACAAACAAUAUAAACACUGAGAUAGCUAUGGGAGGUAACCCACAUAAUAAGUAGAGGCAAACAGGUAUAGAACCUCAAUUGGGAACAGAGGCUGAAUACCUUAGGGAAAAGACUGCACAGGUUGAAAUGAAUAAGAGAGGGCCAGUGUUAGAUGUCUGGACCCAGUGGAGAAUGGGGGUAAAGCCAUGGUCCAAAAAACAAACUUCUUUAUUAUUAUACAAAAAGAACAACUCGUACCUUUUACCUACCUCCCACCUCCCCUUCCUAAUGCCCCUGGAGAUGUACACUUCUAGUACACUACAUCAAGAGUAAUUAGAAGGUCCUGGAGAACUCUGUCCCUCCCAUUUCCCCAUUGCCUCAGCUCUCUCUUCUGGUUUCCUCAUCCCUACCUUGAAUUAUAUUUCAGGCCCUGGUUUUAGGGGGUUGGGAGGGGGAAGGGGAUUGUAUAUAAAGAAUUCUGCUCUUUCAUACAUACUCCUUGGCAGAGUUUGGCUUGGGGUAAGAUCGAGGAGUCCGGUACCCUGCUUUGCCCUCACUACCUGGGCAAGAGCAAGAAAGGAGUGCACCCCCCAAGAUAAUCAGGGCAGAGCCAGCCCAGCCAAUGAAAAUAGCAGAUCCAAAUUCAUACCUGUGGAGAGAGAUAAGAGAGAGUUAUGAUCAAAAGUACCCAGUUAAGGGGCAGCUAGGUGAUAGUGGAUAGAGCUCCAGGUCUGGAGUCAGGAGGACCUGGGUUCAAAUCCUAACUUAGACAUUUCCUAGCUGUGUGAACCUGCACAAGUCACUUGCCCUCUCUUGGAGUGUAAGAUAGAAAGUAAGUGCUUAAAAAAAUGUUAUUUUGCCUAUAAACCCUAAGCUUUCCACCAUCCUUCCUGCAACACUCCCCAAAAAUCCCUGCUCCCAUUUGUGACCCCAGGUACCCAGAUUAAAGUCCAUACUUACUUAGUAUUCAUAGGGACCAGUGGAUUAUAAAAAUCUGUUAUUAUUUGGUGGCCAUACCAGGAACAAGCAACAAGGGCAGCAAGACCUGAUCAGGAAAGGAAUGAUGGAUUCAUCAGAGAGCCUGUGAAUCCCUUGACCUACUAACCCACUUUACAAAUCUUUACAGUGUAAAAAGAUUUGGGGGGGGGGGUUAUAGGGCAGCACUUGAACAAAGUUUCAGGCCUAAAGCAAUUCUACUAGACUUGGCAGGAAUAGAGGUGGAGGAGUGGGGCUUCAGGGAGGGGAAACCCAGUUUUACAGUAUGGAAAGGAAAGCAAGAAGACAGCUUACCAGCCACAAUGAAGACUAUGCCACCUGUCAUGGCAAUUCGAGCCUUCUUCACCUUGUCAUCACCCCCACAUCGUGUACACUUCAUGCCCAUGGUGGCCACCAUCAUGGCUAGGAAGCUCAAAACCAGAGAUACCACCAUUAGGGCCCGGGUGGCCUGCAGGGAAGCUGGAAAGGGGAAGGAGACUUAUUGUCAUCACCUUCAGUUAGAAGAGAUAACCUGUGAUUUAUUUGUACAGGGAACUCUGAGGUGAGGAAAUUAUAUUUAGUGAGCACUGAGAAUUUAAUAGACUUUCCCAGGAUUACACAGCCAUAUUAGAGGCAGAUCUUGAAUCCAGGUCUUAAUGGUUCCAAAGCUAGCUCUCCCCUCUACCACAUUGUCUCAUCUCCUCUACCUUUAACACUUUUAAUUGACUUCCAAGUUAUUUUUCUAGACUCAUUACUCCUGAGUUCCACGACCUAAUUUCUUUUUAAAUUUCUUUUUAAAAUGUUUUUUCAUGUUUACAUGAUUCAUUUUCUUUCUCCCAGAACCAACAAGCUGGGUUGUACAAAUAUUAUUUGAUACUUAUUUCUAUAUUAUUCAUUUUUGCUAUAGAGCAAUCUUUUAAAGCCCAAAUCAUAUACCCAUGAAUACAAGUGAUGUCAUGUUUUUCUUUUGCAUUUCUACUUCCAUAGUUCUUUCAAUGUACCAGUACCUAAUAUCUGUCUAUUGGACAGUUACUUCAAACUGUAUAUUUCAACUGAAAUUUAUCACCUUUCCCUCCAGAAAACAUGUUACCCCUCACCCCACAAUUUUCCCACUUGUCUAUGGCAUGCAGAAUGCUCUCUGUAUAUGGCUACCCUCCUCCCCUCCUAAUUGCUACUAGAAAGGCAGAGGGACUCAGGUGGAGCUGCUCCAAUUCCCCUCUCUACCUUUCCUGAUGACAUUUUUUCACAUUACCCACCCCUCUGCCCAGAAUCCCAAUGGGAAUGAAUGGGGGUAAGGUGGGUGGCUCACAGGUGGCAGAGCUGUAGGGGAGAGCAGAGCACCCAGGCCACUACUCUUCAUUUCUCUAUACUCACUGAGGACAUUUCUCAUUUCACCUUGCCCCUCUGAUCUGCAGCCCAGUGGGAAUGCUUCCUCCCUCCCCUGUGUGAGGGGGGGGGGGCAGGGUCUAGCAUUCCAUCUCUAAAAGAUUCACCAUCACUGGUCUAUGGCAUUAUUGUCAUCCCUGUCCAAGCCUUAGAGUCAUUGGAUUCUUCUCUCUCACCCUAAACAGUUACUUAGUCCUGACCAUUUAACUAAUAAUAUUUCUCUAACUCAGUCUUCUCUACAUACAUUGCUACCACUAUAGUUUAGGCCCUCAUCACCUCUCAACUGAACAAUUUAAUAAUCUGCUUCCUUACUAGUAGUCUUUCUGCUUCCAAUCUUUCCCUCUCUCUAACCCAUCUUUCACUGAGCUACCCAAAUAAUAUUUUUUCAGUGUGCCAUUGAUCACAAUAUUUGUCUGCUCAAAACUACUGAAUAAAUUUCUGCUGCCAUGCAAAGUCAUUUA